rnacentral:rRNA from 1 species
UACGUAGGCAGCGAGCGUUGUCCGGAAUUACUGGGCGUAAAGCGCGUGUAGGCGGCCCAGCAAGUCGGAUGUGAAAGCCCUGGGCUUAACCUAGGAAGUGCAUUCGAAACUGCUGGGCUUGAGUUCUGGAGAGGAAGGCGGAAUUCUCGGUGUAGAGGUGAAAUUCGUAGAUAUCGAGAGGAACACCGGUGGCGAAGGCGGCCUUCUGGACAGUGACUGACGCUGAGACGCGAAAGCGUGGGGAGCAAACAGG